ACUGCAAAGCCAAUCCAUGAGCAUCUAGGAUACGAGUCAAUACUAAUAUAACCUGGGUGAGAUACCGGAUUGAGAUACGAGUCAAUAAUAUAAUCUCUCCGGUGUCUAACAAGAAAAAUAGUGUUCUACACACACACACACACACACACACACACACAAAAAAAACUCCGCCCUUCUCUGCCCGCCGCCACCGGCCCAAUCUCCGGUCGCCGCCUCCUCCGGCGCAUGGAUUGGAAUCUCCUGCCGAACCUCUUCCCUUCCACGACCACAACCCUCAAGCGAUCCAACUGAGCACCAGCUCUCGCUUCGAGCCCGCCAUCAGCUCCCGCCGUCCAACUCCAACCCACCUGCACCACCCGCAUCGGUGCCCCAGGCAUCCUCCAGCCACCGACAAGUCGGAGUCCCUGCCGCCACGGACGACGCAGAGCUCCUGAAGGACAGCGAGGUGACAAAUCCAGGUCCUGUCCAUGCCGAGCCUCUCCUAAGUCCUAACGCGAGCUCAGGCGCCCGUCACCGUCUCACCUGAGCCGUACGAUUUUCUGCUCUGUCUUACACCUCUGUUCUGUCCAUGUAUUGAUGUUUAGGUGUGGCAAAGAUUUGGUACAUGGUAUGUAGGUUCUGUGGGCAUUUGUAUGAAGUUCUGUGAGCAUGCACAUGGUAUGAAGUGAUUGGGUGAGUUGAUUAGCAUUAACGAUUCACAACCUUAAUUCUGUCAAAUCAGAUUUUUAGGCGCUCUAUGCAUACAUGAAUUGUCUUUGCAGCAAGUCUGUAUGUCGCCGGAACAUGUAGCCUAAACCUAAUGGCAUUUGUAAGUAGAGAGAUUCUUGUUCUGGAUGUCUAAACCCAGUCUUAACAAGCACACAACUGUAAGGCAACAUCUACAGAACGUAAUAUUAUUCGAUGUGUAUAAUUCAGCCCUCAUCCCCAAACUAUCUGGUGAACCUCGUAUACACUCCCACCAGCUCUCCGUUUCUCACCGUCGGUCUCUGACUCAGAAGGAUCUUGUCAAAAGUCAGUCGUGCAGAUUGGAGGUGGGUUGAUCUACAUCUCCGCAGUAUUUUAUUUCGCCGUCCUCUGACGGUCUGACGGACCUGAAGAAGAACAUGGCACCCUGUGUGUAUGUGUGAUGUGCUAUGAAGAAUUUUUUCGUAUAUACAAUUACUCAAUUAAAAGGAAUGCCUGGAGUAUUUCAUUUGACUGAAUGUUGUAAGCUGAAGUUAACUAUAGCCACGUUAGAGUUUUACUGAUGGUUCAUCCUGCCAUCCUUAGAUACAUAAAUUAAGGUGUACAUAGUUUAUUUUGUAGCAGAGGAACAAAGUAAUUUAAACCAAGUAGUAAGAUAUACACUAGUGUCAAAAACGCUCUUAUAUUAUGGGAUGGAGGGAGUAGUAUUUUAGUAUUCUCUUUCGUUCUUCUGUACUUAUAGGAAAGAAAUUACUUCUGUGGUGGAAGACUGGAAGUUGCUUAUGUAUUUUUUGAGAUAUGCAAGGGCAUGCUUCCAGCAUUUUGUGUGGUUGCUAUGGUGUUAGGCUGAUCAUGUAUGUCCAUCUAAAUGACACAGAAUGCAUGUUUUGUUGAAGCGCAAUGAUAGUGUGUUUAAGAACAAGCAUGCCAAUGCGGAUGAUGUAUUCUGAUGAGUCCAAAUUGAAUUCAACAAUACAAUAGGUGAAGGACAUCCUCUCCAUUGCCUUAACCAAGGAAUAGCUGCCAGUGUGUGCAUGGAUAAAGGAAGAAGAGGGGGAACAAAUGGAAGGAGAAGGAAGAAGAAAACAACCAAUGGAUGGAGAAAGAUCUAUGACCAAUAGUAUACCAUUUUCUAUCGUACCAUGUCUUAUUAAUCUUAAGAUGGGCCUCUUAAAGUGCCAAUCCUUGGUACCGUCUACAUGAAUUAGUUCUUUAGUACAAUGCUCAAGGUUGGGUGUGUCUUUGUGAAACUGAUGCUUAUUGCAUUCAGUUUAGAAAUUGGUAUACUAUUUUCUCAUUUCUUUACUACUCCCUCCGUCUUAUAGUGACAAAAAACGUCUUACAUUAUGAGACGGAGGGAGUAGAACAGUGGUAUUCAGUGGUUCAGUGGAGUGAUGCAUCUAUGGAGGCGAUGUUGGUUGAUUGAUGUUGAA